UUUAAUUGCCUUAUUUUAUUUAAUUCAUAGAAAUUUCAUUUUUUAUCCAAAAAAUAUUGGUCUUUCACCAAAAAUCUUUAAAUAUUUUUCUCUUCCAUAUUCUGAAUUAAAAUUAUUUUUGGGAUUAAUUUUGGUAUUUUCCAUGAAUUAAAUGUUUUUUUGCAUAUUUUUGUAAUUGUUUAAAAAUACUUCUGACUUUUUAAAAUAG
rnacentral:lncRNA from 1 species